rnacentral:rRNA from 1 species
UGGGGAAUAUUGCACAAUGGGCGCAAGCCUGAUGCAGCCAUGCCGCGUGUGUGAAGAAGGCCUUCGGGUUGUAAAGCACUUUCAGCGAGGAGGAAGGUGGUGAACUUAAUACGUUCAUCAAUUGACGUUACUCGCAGAAGAAGCACCGGCUAACUCCGUGCCAGCAGCCGCGGUAAUACGGAGGGUGCAAGCGUUAAUCGGAAUUACUGGGCGUAAAGCGCACGCAGGCGGUUUGUUAAGUCAGAUGUGAAAUCCCCGGGCUCAACCUGGGAACUGCAUUUGAAACUGGCAAGCUAGAGUCUCGUAGAGGGGGGUAGAAUUCCAGGUGUAGCGGUGAAAUGCGUAGAGAUCUGGAGGAAUACCGGUGGCGAAGGCGGCCCCCUGGACGAAGACUGACGCUC